UAAUCAUUUUUGUUUUAAAGCCAGAUAUCCAUAAUAUUUUUUUUUUUUUUUUUAAAUAAAUGGUUGCCUGCUUACUCACUGUCCAGUGCUCGUUAUGCUUUGUGAACGAUAAUCUGGGGAUUGGCUCACUAUAUACCUCUCUCAAUAGGAUUGCGAUUAGGAUGCCGCCUUUUCUGAUCCACAUCUGAUGCACUUUAGAUACACCCUAUGAGGCAGGGUUAUCUUUCCAGUGGAGAUUGUUCUCACUGGGCCGCUCGAGACACUGUACGGUCCACUCUUGGAGAUCACUACCUACCUGUGUGUUCCUGAAGAAGCCUCGUACUAGGGCCAAACAUGUAGAACCAGUAACACGGGUUGUUUGAAGAAGUCCCUUUGCUUAUGAUUGCAUAAGUAGCACUUUUUCUGUGAUGGUUUUAACAAUGUUGCAAUGAAAUAAUUUUUUCAAAUGUUAUGUAUUAAUAAAUGAUUAACCUUUUAUAUAAA